rnacentral:rRNA from 1 species
AUGGAAGUGGCAUUAGCUAGUGCUGCCUUAAGCAUAAGCUUAAAAUUGGCUGCAUCGCCGGCCUUAAAGAAGCUCCUUUCUAAUGCUUCAACGUACCUUGGAGUGAAUAUGGCACGUGAGCUCCAUGAACUGGAGACCACUGUCUUGCCGCAGUUUGAGCUAUUGAUUGAAGCAGCAGAUAAGGGAAACCACAGGCCCAGGUUGGACAAAUGGCUUCAGGAACUCAAAGAAGGCUUCUACCUGGCUGAAGACUUGCUGGACAAGCAUGAGUAUAACCUCCUCAAGCGCCAUGCCAAGGGGAAGGAUUCCUCGUCGGCCAAUUCCUCCAUCAGCAGCACUUUAAUGAAGCCUUUGCGUGCUGCAUCAAGCAGGCUAUCCAAUCUGAGCUCUGAGAACAGAAAGCUAAUUCAACAUCUGAAUGAAUUGAAGGCUACCUUGGCAAAAGCUAAGGACUUCCGUCAACUGCUCUGCUUACCAGCUGGUUAUAUUGCGGAGCGCCCCAUCAUACCAUCAGCUGCUGUUCCUGAGACCACAUCACUGCCACCUCUGAAAGUGAUUGGUCGUGAUAAGGAUCGUGAUCAUAUAAUAGAGUGUCUUACCAAGACAACUGCUACUACUGAGUCUAGUGUUGCUAUGUACUCGGGUUUGGCCAUUGUUGGAGCUGGAGGCAUGGGAAAGUCCACCUUGGCACAGCUUGUUUACAAUGACAAAAGGGUAAAAGAACAUUUUGAUGUGACAAUGUGGGUAAGCAUCUCACGCAAACUUGAUGUCCGUCGUCAUACACGGGAGAUAAUUGAGUCUGCCUCUCAGGGGGAGUGCCCACGCAUUGAUAACCUUGAUACUCUGCAACGCAAGCUGUCCAACAUAUUGCAAGAGUCAGGGAAAUUCCUGCUCGUGUUGGAUGAUGUUUGGUUUGAACCUGGCAGUGACAGAGAAUGGGACCAACUGUUAGCUCCUCUAGUUUCCCAAGAGACAGGAAGCAAAGUUUUGGUAACUUCUCGACAUAAUAUAUUUCCAGCUGCUCUUUGCUGUGAAGUGUGUCCUCUGGAAAAGAUGAAAGAAACUCAGUUCUUGGCACUCUUCAAAUACCAUGCAUUCUCUGGACCAGAAAUUACAAAUCCGCAGUUGCAUGAAAGGCUGGAAGAUCUUGCAGGGAAGAUUGCUAAAAGGCUUGGACAAUCUCCUUUGGCGGCAAAAGCUGUGGGUUCCCAGUUGAAAGGGAAAACAGAUAUCACUGCAUGGAAGGAUGCUCUUACUAUAAAGAUUGACAAACUAAGUGAUCCCUUGAGAGCUCUGUUCUGGAGUUAUGAGAAGUUAGGUCCAUGUCUGCAGAGGUGCUUCCUAUAUUGCAGCUUGUUUCCAAAAGGCCACAAGUAUGACAUUAAUGAGUUGGUUCAUCUUUGGAUGGCAGAGGGCCUUAUUGAUUCGUGUAACAAAAACAAGAGAGUGAUGUUGGGAGCAGGGUGGGAUUGCUUCAAUGAAAUGAUCUCUGUUUCGUUCUUUCAACAAGCUUAUGGGACAUACUUUGUUAUGCAUGAUCUCCUUCAUGACCUGGCAGAAUCACUCUCCCAAAAAGACUACUUCAGAUUGGAAGGUGAUAAGGUGACAGAAAUACCAUCCACUGUACGCCACCUAUCUGUUCGUGUUGAUAGUAUGAAGCAACAUGAACAAAGUAUCUGCAAGCUACAUCAUUUACGCACGAUUAUCUGCAUAGACCCCCUAAUGGAUGAUGUAAGCUACCUUUUUAAGAUACUACAGAAUUUGAAGAAGUUGCGUGUACUAUCUUUGUCAUCUUACAGCAGUAGUAGGUUGCCAGAAUCUGUUGGUGAGUUGAAGCACCUUCGGUAUUUGAACAUCAUCAGAACACUGAUUUCUGAUUUGCCAAAAUCACUGUGUACUCUUUACCACUUGCAGUUACUUCUCUUCAAUCACACAGUUGAGAGUUUGCCUGAGAAACUCUGUAAUUUAACGAAGCUACGGCAUAUUAAAAGGCAUCAAAAUAGAAUUCGUAACAUUGGCAAGCUAACUUCGCUUCAACAAGUUAGGAAAUUUUCAGUGCAAAAGGAAAAGGGAUAUGAGUUGCAACAGUUGAGGGACAUGAACGAGAUUCAUGGCCAAUUUAGUGUAUAUAACCUUGAGAAUGUCGCUGGGAAGGAUGAAGCCCUAGAAUCAAAACUGCACCAGAAAAAACAUAUUUGGGAUUUGCAUCUUGUCUGGAGUUGCAAGAAUAACGUGAAUGCAGAUGAUAGUUUACAUUUGGAGAUUCUAGAGGGCCUGAUGCCACCGCCUCAAUUGAGGCGUAUUCAAAUUGAUGGUUACAAAUCUUCAAAACAUCCAGACUGGUUACUUGAUGCUUCAUAUUUUGAGAAUUUGGAAUCUUUAUGCUUUGUUAAUUGCAGCGCAUUACAAAGCCUACCAUCCAAUAUUGAGCUAUUUGAGAAUUGUUCUUCACUUGUCCUCUGCGAUGUGCCAAACCUGAAGACAUUACCUCUUCUUCCACUAGGCCUUGAAGUGUUAGAAGUAAAAAAAUGCCCACUUCUUGUAUUCAUUUCCAACGAUGAGUUGGAGAAUCAUGAUCAGAGAGAGAAUAUCAUGAGGACAGACCACUUGGCAUCCCAACUUAGUUUAAUCUGGGAGGUGGAUUCAGGAUCAUAUAUUAAGUUGGUGCUCUCAUCGGAAUAUUCAUUUCUCAAGCAGCUGAAGAUACUGAUGCGUGCUGAUGUAUCACAUGUUGAAAACCUUGAAAGUUCUCCAGAAAGAGAGGAAGAUGAAGUAUUGGUAAAAGAGGAUAUCAUCAAGGCAUGUAUAUAUUGUCACGAACAGAGGAUUAGACUCAUCUAUGGAAGGAGCAUUGGGCUCCCGCUGGUUCUACCAUCAGGACUUCGUCGACUUUCUCUUUCUUCAUGCAGUAUUACAGAUGGAGCUUUAGCUAUUUGCCUUGAUGGCUUGACUUCUCUAGAAAGGUUGUCCUUAGAAGAAAUUAUGACUUUAACUACACUUCCUUCAGAAGAGGUCCACCAACAUUUGACAAAACUUGGCAGCUUGGUCAUCAAAUCUUGCUGGCGUCUCAGGUCAUUAGGGGGCUUACGAGCUGCUACCUCUCUUUCUCAUGUGACAUUGAUGUUCUGCCCUUCUUCAGAGUUGGCAUGUGGAGCAGAAUGUUUGCCAUUAUCUCUUGAGAGUCUAUGUAUAUGGAAUUGUGUGCUUGGAGCUGACUUCCUCUGUGCUGACUGGCCACACAUUAAUGCUAUUGAAAUAAGAUAUUGCAGAAGCACCGCUUGCAUGUCUGUUGGUAAUCUAACCUCUGUUAAAUCAUUCUCACUGUUUAGCUUGCCAGAUUUAUGUACGCUCGAAGGAUUGUCUUCCCUGCAACUUGAAAGUGUACAUUUGUAUGAUGUUCCGAAACUCAUCCCGGAGUGUAUCUCAGAGUUUCGAGUCCAGAAUUCACUCGGAGUUAGCAGUCCUGUAAUACUCAACAACAUGCUCUCUGCUGAAGGUUUCACAGUUCCAAAAACCCUCUCUCUUAUAAACUGCGAGGAGCCAGUUAUUUCAUUCGAAGAAUCCGCAAAUUUCACAUCUGUCCAGAGCCUGACAUUCUUUGGUUGUCGGAUGAUUUCCCUGCCAACAAAUCUGAAAUGCUUCUCCAAUCUGAAGAAUCUUCACAUCCAGCGCUGCCUCAACAUAUCAUCUUUACCAGAUCUGCCAUCCUCCCUCCAAAACAUACGCGUAUUGGCUUGUUCUGAGCUGUUGAAGGAGAACUGCCGAGCACCUGAUGGAGAAAGUUGGCCAAAGAUUGCUCAUAUCCGCUGGAAGGAAUUUAGAUAG